rnacentral:tRNA from 1 species
AUCUGGGUGGUGCAAAUGGUUAACACGCUUGGCUGCUAACCAAAAGGUUGGAGGUUCUAGUCCUCCCGAAGGCA